rnacentral:lncRNA from 1 species
UCUCUUCUUCUCUCUUCCUUUCUCCGCUGAUCAGCAACACAUUGUCAUCUUCCACCUGCACUUUUAUAUCUCCACAUUUCAACCCUGGCAUGUCCACAACGAAAACGUAGGAAUUUGGGUACUCUUUCACGUCAGCUGGUGUUGCAGCCAUCGCCUUAGCGUCACGUACAUAGUUCCUUGAUGGGGCAUUCACAGACUUGUCUGAAUCAUCUCCGGCUGCGUCCACGAGGUGCUGGAGAGUGUGGAAUAGUGGUGUGUCCAUUCCCAUUAGCCUGAAAUCCAUCUUCCUCUUCUUGGUUGAAUUGGUUUCAAUUUUGAGAUACUUUUGAAUGUAGGAUUUUGAUUUGCUGUAUUUGAAUUGGGUUUUCG